rnacentral:lncRNA from 1 species
AUGUAUAAACAUGAAAUGCUAACAUAUACAAUAUACCAGAAACAACAUCAUUAUACGAUAUCAUCAUUAACAAGUAACAAAUAUUCACUGUAUACUUGCCUACUUUAUUACAUAUAUUAUUACAUUAGGUGGUACUGGAUGUUCUUUACAGUACUUUUGUUAAUUGUUGUGUUUGUGUUUCACCUGUGUUUGUUAACUUUGUUUGCAAAUGAUAAGCUGCAGCUAAUAUUACAUUUAUGCUGUCGCAUUUUGUGACAAUAUGUUUGGAAAUGCACUACGUUAGCCAGUGAAUACAUUUCUAAUCCGUUAUUGAUGUUUUUUUGUUUGUUUUGUUUUUGUGGUACAGUAUUUGUAAUUAAUGCGAAAUAAUAGUGCAUACUAUUGAUUUAUAUGUAAUUGCAAAAUAAAGCACUUAAUCUAUAUUGUGUUUUUGAUUUUUACUUCGAGUGGGCGGGGCUAUUAUUACGGUUUUCUGAUUGGUGGAGAUUUUUGCAGAAUCAUGGGUAAUGCAGUUUUUCAGCAAGAAUUCCACUGUUAAAGACAAUUAAAUAAUAAUAAUAAUAAUAAUAAAGCCUGAGUGGGCUGACAGCUUCAACAAAAACAUUGAGGUCUGUCUUUAACAAUUUAGAAGAUAUCUUUAAAAAUCACUUCCCUUGUGGGGAAAAUAAAUGAAUGGGAUUUUCACUUCCAAGACCUGACUGUUGUGCUCUAUAGUUCCAGACAAUAAAAGUAAAACAAAAUAAGUGUUUAAGAUGUGCAGCAGCUUAAACUGUUGACUUUAAGCACGAAUCAUUUAAAAUCAACUUAAACCGGAACAUCAGUCAAAUUAUCUUAUUAUAUUGUGAAAUUUCCAUAUUUGAUCUUCUAAGCUGCUUUCGGUGCCCCACCAAAUAAUUAUGAUGGUCUUAUGUGAAGUGAAUAUAAAACAUCAAAGCACAGAACUGAAGCAAACACCGUGAGCUAUAAAAGUUAUUGUCAUGCACAGUAAGUGCUCUCUCUGUCAACCCCAUGGGAAUGUCAAUUGGUUUCAGUGCUUUAGUAGAAUAAAGCACGCUAGACAUGCAACAAGUUUGUCAAGGCCUCUUUAAACAUGUGUAAUUGCUCUUGUUGCACGCAGACAAAAAGAAUAAAAGAAGGCGAGGGGUUUAAAUAUAGACAAACCCAGAUCUGGAAGAAACUUCGAGCAAAUCUUGCCACUGCGACUUUGAAAUAAAGUCAUCCUUACAGCACAGCAGAUCAAACACUCGCGGACACACGUGUGGCCGCCCACACAUGCAAGGCAGACACGUCUCAAAGAGUGUGAGAGAUGGAUGAGCCAUUCAUACGGCACGAACGUCCCUGUGAAAGUGAUUUAAUCGCUAGUGCUUGAUUACACAGAUGAUAGAAAAGCUCAAGCUCAGAUGCUCUCCAAGGAGCUAUUUAACUCCUCCGGCGGCCCCUAACCGAGCAUUAUUUGUCUUCGUUAUCGCCGCCUCGCGGGGGAUCAACUCUUCAUUUUCCCUGCUUGCACGCCCACCCCAUCAAGAUCAAUCCCUAGCCUGACCGACAUGUUUUUGUAAGCGUCCAAUUUAUGGGUUCCAGUGGUGGCUAGAUGACACAGCCGGCACUUCCUCUGCUCGCUUUGGCCAGGAGCCACGGGAAAGAUGCGUCUCUUGUGAUUGUGAAUCUGAUUUUCCAUUCCAUUUGCUAGAUUACCUCGACGUCCGGCCACAAGUCUUCAUUUAGAGCCACUCCGCUGCGUGGAUUGGCUAUAUUUUGGACGUCCCACAAGCAGCUGCGUGCGUCUCAAAGGAUCCACCACCUAAAUAUUGCAUAAUGUAACAACUUGUCCCAGGCUUUGGCAGAUCGCCUGCAUCGGUUCAAAGCAAUGCACCAACUUCAGAUUAGGUGUAUCCUUGCCAAGACGGAAGGCGGCCCCUGAGGAGAAUCGCA